AUAAGCGGAGGAAAGAAACAACAGGGAUUGCCCCAGUAACGGCGAGUGAAGCGGCAACAGCUCAAAUUUGAAAUCUGGCCCUUGUGGGGGUCCGAGUUGUAAUUUGUAGAGGGUGCUUUGGCGUCGGCUGCGGUCCAAGUUCCUUGGAACAGGACGUCACAGAGGGUGAGAAUCCCGUACGUGGCUGCGUGCCUUCGCCGUGUAAAGCCCCUUCGACGAGUCGAGUUGUUUGGGAAUGCAGCUCUAAAUGGGAGGUAAAUUUCUUCUAAAGCUAAAUACCGGCCAGAGACCGAUAGCGCACAAGUAGAGUGAUCGAAAGAUGAAAAGCACUUUGGAAAGAGAGUCAAAAAGCACGUGAAAUUGUUGAAAGGGAAGCGCUUGCAGCCAGACGUGCCCGCGGUUGCUCAUCCGGACCACUGUCCGGUGCACUCUCCCGCGGGCAGGCCAGCAUCGGUUUGGGCGGUUGGAUAAAGGCUCCGGGAAUGUAGCUCCCCCCGGGGAGUGUUAUAGCCCGGUGCGCAAUGCAGCCAGCCCGGACCGAGGCCCGCGCGCAUGCUAGGAUGCUGGCGUAAUGGUUGUAAGCGGCCCGUCUUGAAACACGGACCAAGGAGUCUAACAUCUAUGCGAGUGUUUGGGUGUCAAGCCCGGGCGCGCAAUGAAAGUGAACGGAGGUGGGAACCCCCUCGAGGGCGCACCAUCGACCGAUCCUGAUGUCUUCGGAUGGAUUUGAGUAAGAGCAUAGCUGUUGGGACCCGAAAGAUGGUGAACUAUGCCUGAAUAGGGUGAAGCCAGAGGAAACUCUGGUGGAGGCUCGCAGCGGUUCUGACGUGCAAAUCGAUCGUCAAAUUUGGGCAUAGGGGCGAAAGACUAAUCGAACUAUCUAGUAGCUGGUUCCCUGCAGAAGUUCU
rnacentral:rRNA from 1 species